UGGGGAAUAUUGCACAAUGGGCGCAAGCCUGAUGCAGCCAUGCCGCGUGUGUGAAGAAGGCCUUCGGGUUGUAAAGCACUUUCAGCGAGGAGGAAGGUGGUGAGCUUAAUACGCUCAUCAAUUGACGUUACUCGCAGAAGAAGCACCGGCUAACUCCGUGCCAGCAGCCGCGGUAAUACGGAGGGUGCAAGCGUUAAUCGGAAUUACUGGGCGUAAAGCGCACGCAGGCGGUUUGUUAAGUCAGAUGUGAAAAUCCCCGGGCUCAACCUGGGAACUGCAUUUGAAAACUGGCAAGCUAGAGUCUCGUAGAGGGGGGUAGAAUUCCAGGUAGUAGCGGUGAAAUGCGUAGAGAUCUGGAGGAAUACCGGUGGCGAAGGCGGCCCCCCUGGACGAAGACUGACGCUCAGGUGCGAAAAGCGUGGGGAGCAAAACAGGAUUAGAUA
rnacentral:rRNA from 1 species